CAGAACUCCUCAGGGAGACGACGUGCCUGGCGGCCCCGGCUCCCCGCCGAGCGCAGGCGGCGGGAGGGACCGCGGGAGGAGGCUGCUCAGGUAUCCGGAGAUUGACUCCCGCUGCCUGCCACCCCACCCCCUCCACCCGUGCCCCUAGGUCGCUGGGAAGGGACCCUCAGGAAAGACACCAGAGGUUGGGAGGAUGCAGUCGGCCUCACGCGGGCUUGGUGAGGAGGCCUUUCUGUUCUACGUCGCGGCCAGGGUGCAGGGGCCAGCGCUCCAGGGUCCUCGGGCGCAGGCCAGGGCUCAGCACCACUCGCCCCGCACUCCGUCCCCAACCUUGCCCCGUGGGCUAUGGCACAGAGGUGACAAACACCCCCAAGGCCUUGUGCCCGGUAAUUACCAAGCAAAUUCCUGGCGACUUCCUCUUCCCACCCCGGGCAGCGCUCGCCGCGUGUUCCCUGAUUCGGGUCCCGGCUGUACAGUCAGCGCCCGGGGCAUCUGCGGGGACCCGUAAUUGCUCUCAAGUUGCCCGGGACUUUGCAAGGGGCCGCCGUGCUUUGGGCCACCGGAGAACCUCAGCUUCCUGGUAUGGACUGGAAAUGCCAGACCCCUGGAAAAAAGAAUUUGGAGGAGAAAAAGUGCUGCCUGCUCACUGCCUCAGUCAUCCACUAAUGGAGUCCACGUGACCGCGAUGUGUCAGACAAAUCUGGGGCAGCCGCCUCACUCUCUUCCCGGAGCCCUUGGAAUUCUCUGGAACCGAGAAUAUUCAAAUGCCUUUCUUGGUGAAACAGCAGGCUUCCAACCACACACCCCCCCCUUCAAAUAUUAUGACUUGAGUUAAAUAUAACCCAGAGCAUGAAAAUAACGGCACAACACGGGGAUUGGAGAAGCCGUGGAGUGAGCAUCUCACAGUCACACUAUCUGUCACCCUGGGGGUGGCGGGGCAUCCGCAGACCCCACGGCCAUGCAGGCAGAAGGCCCACAGAACCACGCAGGGGUCUGGUCGCUCCGGGGCCGGUAAGUAGCUGCAUUGGCCUGGGUGGGCUUCACGCUACUGGUUUCCGCACACAUUCUCCUUUUUCCUAAUCAGAUGUGGUGCGACUUCAAGGGUUGGGGAGCAUCUAUCUUAACUGAUGUGUGGAAAGGGAGACUGCCUGCUUUUUCAGACGUGAAGGGAGGAUCAAGGUAGGAGGGGCAUCCUCAGGCGGCGGCAGCUGUGGCUGGCAUGCUGAUGUGGAAAUCCAAGGGGACACACACGUGCCCCUACUCACUGGCGUGUGCAUGCUCAGUCGUGUCUGACUCUGAGACCCCAUUGAUGGUACCCCACCAGGCCCCUCCGUCCAUGGGAUUUUCCAGGCAGGAAUACUGGAGUGGGGUGCCGUUUCCUUCUCCAGGGAAUCCCCCCAGGCCAGGGAUCAAACCUGUGUCUCCUGCAUUGCAGGCGGAUCCUUCAUCACUCAGCCACCUGGGAAGUCACUGGACCACCUUUUACAAUAAUCGAGAAGGAGAAGCUUGAUCUGUGGAGGGGAGGGAGGGUUAGAUGCACAUUUGGGCCCAUGAGCCAGGUUCUCCAGACUCCCUCACUAACCUCAUGCAUGAGUGUAUGGUGAAAAUUCAGUGGGUGGUAGAUAAGCCAAAUGUCUUCUGAAAGUCAGACUCUCUGAAUUCCAAACCCAAUGAUUACCAUAGUGGUUGGGCUAGGGCUGGAUUCAAAUCAGUGAACCUAGAGCAGAAUAGUUGAAUAGGCCUUCUCUCAGAGCCCUUCUGCCACUGAGUUGCCCAGCAACCACCACAAGGCUGCCCCCUCUCUUGUCUGCUUUGGGUCAAACAGCAAAUAGGUCAGACCAGAAAAGCAGAUACAUGGGCAUCUUUGCAUUACCUUGCUUUAUACAUGUAGGAGAACUUACAGUGUUUGUAACGUGCUUUUACUUAAACGGCCUUUGGGAUUUGCUAAUUUGGGGAGGGCCUGGGAGAAUGAGAAGGAGCAGAAGAUGGUGUUCUUUGAUUCCCAUAAGGUAAGUAGGACAGCUGUAAUAACCCCCCACUUUACAGAUGAGAAAAUUGAGCCUCAGUGCAGGUAUUGGCCAAAAGCUACAUGGCUUACAAGUGAUGGUGGGGUUGACUCCAAGUCUUCUGGUUGUCAGGGCUACAAAAGAAUAGGCCCCUCCCCUUAAAUACACCACUCUCUGCUCCCCGCCCUCUCAGGCAGCUUGGAAAUUGUGAGAAAAAUCAAGGGGCUAGCUAGACCAUGAAUUCUAUAAAGACAGCAGCAAGUAUUAGUAAAUUCUCUGCCCUUCCCCAAAUCUUUUCUUUUUUUCAGCUGAAUCUCAUGUGUGCGUGAGAUGGGGUCCAGAGAGAUGCAUGGGAAAGUGUGACAGGGAAGGUGUGAAAGGAAGGCGGUGAGAAAGAUUUUACCCUCUCAGAGUCUUUGCUUCUUCUCCGUGGUCCUUCCUCAAAGAUGAAUCAGCAGAAUGAGCCCCCAGUCCUCCCGGAUCUGAAAACAAAACCACAGAACGCCUCCUUCUCAUUCUCCCAGACCCUCCCCAAAUUAGCAAAUCCCAAAAUGCCUUCUUUGAGAGCUUGGGUUGAGGAAGGGGGUUCUAGCUUCAAGUGGUGCUUCAUGUGAGGGUCUUAGGAAGAUAUAAGAGCCUUACUGACACCUACUCUGGACUCCCACCCUAGCUGCCUACCUGCUUCUGCUUGAAGAAAAGAGGCAUAAAGCCUUGUUGGCGGGACUCUCAAUUCUGCACCCUCUUCCGUCUUGAGAGCCACUGUCCAGCUUUCCACUUCUGUGCCUCCUGAUCCUUCUUCCACCCCCACCUUCCGCUCUACAAAGCCCCUGCUAGAAGUUGACAAAGCUGACUGGCUGCUUAAUGUGCUACAGGUGUUGUUGCUAGGCAACCACCCCACUCUGCGGCUCAGGCUCUGUCAGCCCAGCUCAAACCCCUGGUAGCACUUAACCCUAUAACUGCUUGCCACCAACGCUAAUUACCCAGGCCCACCGAACAGCACAUUUAUACCCUGUGAUCAAGGAGUGGAAGGACUCAUUCUCAGCACCUUAGGCCUUCAACCAACACGGCUCACCGGGCCGGGCUGCCCCGAACAUGCUCUGGAGGUCUUUUGUCUACAAGCGUCCAUUCCUCCUUUCUGGUCACAUGCACUGGACGCUGCAUGUCGUGUUGGCCGUCUCUCUUCAUUGGAUGGGCUUCUCUCAAAGUCGGCCAAACACCUUGACUGCCCUCGGCCUCCAGGAAAGAGAUGGCAGACUUGUUUCUGCACUUCAAGCUAUGUUCGGGUUGACAUUUUUGACCCCGAACCUCACAGUGAUGAAUGACAUUCAUUCUUUGAUGUCUGUACCCAGUUGAACUGGGAAUGAUGAAAAAUUUUGGACAUUCUUCCAACUCUUGGGUGUUGCAUUCCUGUUCUUGGUCUUUGCCUCCCCAAAUGGACUAACUCAUAGUCCUUUAUGUUGAUCAGGAGUUACAGGAAGCUUUAAACAUGCAUAGAUGGAUACUUAUGUUAGCACAUUAGCCAAACUCCAGAACUGAUCUGCUCCUGAGUUGGUUUUCCCCAUUCCCACGUGAUCAUACUCCUGGACUCAUCAACUAUGGGUGAACGCAUGAACACACCAUGUUUCUACGUCGCUUUUCUAAACCACAGAAUGGGGUUGACAGUGAUGGAGAGACCACUAAAGACCAAAGCAAAUUCUCCCUUCCUUUCUAGGAAAUUCUAGCAAAGUUCUAGCAAAUUCUCCCUCCCUUUCUUUUUUUCUCAUGAGACUAAACUUGGCCUAUGACCCAGAUUAUAGGAGAUUCCCACGUGGGGUCGAAUCUCCUUUCUGCUGGUGAGGUGCCUGAUUGUGAAGGGCAGGUCUAGGCUUGCUGGGUCAUGACAGUGGAGAUUCUCAUCCAUUCCUGAAAGCCAACUCCUCCCAGGCGGUCUGGGCACCACCCCACGAUGCCAGAACCCUGGAAGGGGUUUCCGGGGGUUACUUCUGCUCUCUGUUCUAGGUGGGAAAGGCCCUUAACCCUUCCCCUCCUGGCAAUUAUGUAAUUAUUCACAGGUGUAGGAGCUGAGAGAACUUACUGCCAUUGAUCAUUUACAUUCAUUGUGUAUUUCAAACAAGUAUUUCAACCCCAGGGCUCCACUGCAGAUUGAGUAUCCUGCUCCCUGCGGAUGGAAUGUGUCAGGUGCUGGGCCAGUGCUUCU
rnacentral:lncRNA from 1 species